UAUCUCCUGAGGUAAAGAUUUGAGUGCACUUCAUGUGGACCACCGCGUGAGAGUGAGACUCAGCCAACACCAAGACAUGGCUAAAAUUUUGGAUGUAAAGACAUUUAACAGCCUUGGCAGACUCGGUUGGGAUAACCCUCGAUCAAGGUAUCCUUGAUAACUGAGUAUGAGAAUGAUUUUUGGCACGAGCCAAGCUUUUCAGGAAAUCAUAAGCCUAUUUGUUUAUUUGGAUGAAAUGAGUUGAAAGGUAAUGAAAUUACAGUAUGAUGACUUAUUUUAAUUCGUCUCCAUUUACUCGCCUUUAGAUAGUUUAGAUGGUGUCUGUUUACUCACUGGGAUUUUAUAAUCUCACCACCCUCAUUUCCUCACAUUUCAGGCUCAGGGAAUUCUAUAGUUAGCUGACUUUGACAAGGACGUUGAUUUGGACAUGAAUCGGCAAAAGCUGUAGGUUUUUAGCUUUCGAUACAUUUUGGUUAGAUGUGGGCCCACGUGUCACUGUAAAAGUAAUUUUAUGCUUUGGUUAUUUGCUUUAUAGUAUAUAUGAAUAUAAUUAACUUUUACGCUAUAAGAAUUAUUUACCGAUAGCUUUGUAAAAAUUAUUUUGCAAGAAAAUAGUUUAUUUUAUUGAAUAUUUUUAUUAUAUUCAAAUGGUCAAAUUUUCACUUCAAAUGAACGUUUUAG
rnacentral:lncRNA from 1 species